GGAAGGUUGUCCGAGCUGGCCGAAGGAGCACGCCCGGAAAGUGUGUAGGCGUCACAAGCGUCUCAAGGGUUCGAAUCCCUUACCUUCCG
rnacentral:tRNA from 1 species